rnacentral:rRNA from 1 species
UACGGAGGGUGCAAGCAUUGAUCGGAAUUACUGGGCGUAAAGGGCGCGUAGGCGGAUAAGUAAGUUAGAUGUGAAAUUUUAGGGCUCAACCCUGAAGCGGCAUUUAAAACUGCAGAUCUAGAGGUAUGUUAGGGAAAACGGAAUUCCACGUGUAGCGGUGAAAUGCGUAGAUAUGUGGAAGAACACCAGUGGUGAAGACGGUUUUCUGGGCAAUGCCAGACGCUGAGGCGCGAAAGCAAGGGGAGCAAACAGG